rnacentral:rRNA from 1 species
UACAGAGGUCCCCAAGCGUUGUUCGGAUUCAUUGGGCGUAAAGGGUGCGUAGGCGGCGCGGUAAGUCGGGUGUGAAAGUCUCGGAGCUUAACUCCGAAACUGCAUUCGAUACUGCUGUGCUUGGAGGACUGGAGAGGAGACUGGAAUUUACGGUGUAGCGGUGAAAUGCGUAGAUAUCGAUAAGGAAGACCAGUGGCGAAGGCGGAUCUC